AAGGUUAUAGCUCAGUGGUAGAGGACAUGCCUAGCAUGCAUGAGGUCCUGGGUUCAAUCCCCAAUACCUCCA
rfam:Camelus ferus unplaced genomic scaffold scaffold1692, whole genome shotgun sequence.